rnacentral:ncRNA from 1 species
AUAAGUGUCUUACAAAAGAGAAGUAACAUGAUCGAUCUUUUCAGAGAGCUGAUGGGGCUGCGGAUCAGUAAGUGGAUGAUGUGAAAUGGACUUUUGGACUGAAGUGUUGAAUCAAGUAGGGACUUCCGGGUACUCCCGUUAUAGAGAAAGACCGUUGUUAGACGGUCGAUAGAGAUAUGUUUUUUUAGCAUAUGAUUGAGGUGGCACCGUGGAUUAUCCGCCCUCAAG